rnacentral:lncRNA from 1 species
CAAAUACAUAUUCUUAUUUACUUCAAAUUAUCUUAAUAUCAAGGUCAGUGCAGUUCACGUGAGGCAUUAUACUUUUUGAGAGACAUUGAAAAGCAAAACCAAUGAUAAAAUUUCCAUUUCUAUAUUUGUUAUUCCUAUAUUUACAGGCAUGAGAAGUUACCAUGAGCUUUUGCAGUCUGUCCCAGGGUGGGUUUUCUGGAGGUCGACUCCAAGACAGAGUUUCAGGCACAGAAUGCUUACCUGGAAGUGUCCUUUGUACCCCAACAGGUGUGAAAUGGAGGUGAAGGAAGCAGCAUGGAAAGAGGGAGAAGUCACGCUAUGAUGCAGGUCCCAGAGCAGCCUUGCCUGACCCCACAGAAAGCUCUGGAGCUAAAAUGGCCCGUAUUGAUUCCCUCUUACUGCUGUAACAAAUUAUCACAAAUUUAGUGGCUUAACACAGCACUAAUUUAUUAUCUUACAGCUCUGAAGUUCAGAUAUUCAAAAUGAAUCUCAUGAAUCAAAGUGUCAGCAGGACCAUGCAUGUUCCUUUGUUGGCCUUUUCCCAUUUAUUCUCUCCCCAGAGCUGGCUCCUCUUAGGAUGUCUGUCAUUCACUUAGACAAAGAAACCAGAAACCCCAGAGUCCUUGCCUCCCUCUGUCCCUCACUUCCUGUGAGCCACCAUGUCCUGGCUAAUCGGCCUCCUUAAUAUCGCCUCACAUUGGUUUCUUUUCUCCAUUCCUGUUCCCACUGCUUUUAUAGAGUCUCCUGUUAUUUCUUCCUAAUUGAUCUGACCUUCCAAUCCAUUCUCAAUGCUAUAGGCCAAAUCUUCCUUAGAGAAAGGACAAAUGAUCGGGUCCCUCCUGGCUUAAAUUGUACCUCAUUGACUUAUGCUUGGCUUCAGGAUAAAAUCCAGCCUCUCAGCAGAAACUUCCAGGCAUCCACAGUCUGACCCCUUCUCUCCCCGCUUGCCCCUGUGCUCCAGUGCCAGCCGCAUUAACCUACUUUUAUCUUUCCCACAUAUGCUGUCCUCCCUUAUGUUGAUGAACCACGGCAGGAGUCUCAUACUUUCAGUUGGUUGUUGCUAGUGUGUUGAUUUCACAUCUUCCAACACUGCCGAACUUAUUAGCUCUAAUAAGGAGGAGAAGGACGCAUGGCCUGAGUAAGAAGGGACAGCAAGC